rnacentral:rRNA from 1 species
ACAGCAGUGGGGAAUUUUGGUCAAUGGCCUAAGGGCUGAACUGGCAAUUUGGGUAAACGAAACAGAAUUGUAACUUACUAAAAUAAAGUUUUAAGUACGUAUUAAUAAUGAUAAUAUGUAUAAAAGUCUUGACCAAUUACGUGCCAGCAGUCGCGGUAAUACGUAGGAGACGAGCAUUAUUCAUAUUAAAUAGGUUUAAAGGGUACCCAAACGGUCAAAAUACCUGAAAUAUAGGAGUACUUGACUAGAGUUAUAUGUAAGAAGACCGUACUUGAGGUGGAGAGAUUAUAUUUUAUGAUACCAAAAGGACUGAUAACGGCGAAGGCUGUCUUUUAUGUAAUAACUGACGUUGAAGGACGAAGGCAUAGAUAACUAACAGGAUUCGUUACCCUAGUAGUCUUUGCAGACAAUGAUGAAUGCCAUUAACUAGAUACUAAUUUUAGUUAUAUAAAUGAAAAUGAAAGCAUUUCACCUCAAGAGUAAUGUGGCAACGCAGGAACUGAAAUCACUAGACCGUUUCUGACACCAGUAGUGAAGUAUGUUAUUUAAUUCGAUGAUCCACGAAAAACCUUACCACAACUUGAAUAUUUAUGGCGCCGCCAUAAAAACAGGAGUUGCACGGCUGUUUUCAGUUAAUGUUGUGAAACUGUGGUUUUUCCAUGAAAUUAACAGAAUCCUUUGCUUUA